CUUUCCCUGGGCAGUGUUCAAAGCCUCCCUAGAAGAUUCUUCAAUAUUUCUCUUUCCACAGUCAAACUAAGCUCAUUGUUUAGAAGAAAUGGAUUCAGGUAGAGUGCCCAGUUUAUGUUUGUUUUGGAAGACGAAAAUCACAAUGGAGACGAGAUGAGGAUCCAAGAUGGCCGACCACUAACAGCUCAGGAUUGUAGCUCCCAGUGAAAGCCCAGAGAACGACACGACGCCACACUUUUAGAUGAAUUUUCC
rnacentral:lncRNA from 13 species